rnacentral:rRNA from 1 species
CAGCAGCCACGGUAACACGAAGGGGGCUAGCGUUGUUCGGAUUUACUGGGCGUAAAGCGCACGUAGGCGGAUUCUUAAGUCAGAGGUGAAAUCCCAAGGCUCAACCUGGAACUGCCUUUGAUACUGGGGAUCUCGAGUCCGGGAGAGGUGAGUGGAACUGCGAGUGUAGAGGUGAAAUUCGUAGAUAUUCGCAAGAACACCAGUGGCGAAGGCGGCUCACUGGCCCGGUACUAACGCUGAGGUGCGAAAGCGUGGGGAGCAAACAGGAUUAGAUACCCCCGUAGUCCCUGUCUCUUAUACC